GACGAACGCUGGCGGCGUGCUUAACACAUGCAAGUCGAGCGGAAAGGCCUUUUCGGAGGUGCUCGAGCGGCGAACGGGUGAGUAACACGUGAGUAACCUGCCCUGUGCUUGGGGGAUAACCCUCGGAAACGGGGGCUAAUACCCGAUAUUCACCGUCUGCCCGCAUGGGUGGGGGGUGGAAAGAUUUUUUGGCGUGGGAUGGGCUCGCGGCCUAUCAGCUUGUUGGUGGGGUCGACGGCCUACCAAGGCGAGGACGGGUAGCCGGCCUGAGAGGGCGACCGGCCACACUGGGACUGAGACACGGCCCAGACUCCUACGGGAGGCAGCAGUGGGGAAUAUUGGACAAUGGGCGAAAGCCUGAUCCAGCAACGCCGCGUGAGGGAUGACGGCC
rnacentral:rRNA from 1 species